UACGUAGGGUGCGAGCGUUGUCCGGAAUUAUUGGGCGUAAAGAGCUUGUAGGCGGUUUGUCGCGUCUGCUGUGAAAUCUCAAGGCUCAACCUUGAGCUUGCAGUGGGUACGGGCAGACUAGAGUGUGGUAGGGGAGACUGGAAUUCCUGGUGUAGCGGUGAAAUGCGCAGAUAUCAGGAGGAACACCGAUGGCGAAGGCAGGUCUCUGGGCCACUACUGACGCUGAGGCGCGAAGGCCAGGGGAGCAAACGGG
rnacentral:rRNA from 1 species